AAGGAUGUAUAAAAAAAAUGUUGCAUUCACUAAAAGUUGAAAUUUUCGGUGAAGAAAGGAAUUCCUAAAAUAAUAUUUAUAUUUUUUGAAAAAAAAUUCUAAGUUUAGAUCAUUUUCAUGAAUAACAUCAUUGAAUUCUUAAAUUUUGGAUCCAAAAUACAUCUUUGAAAUAUAAUUUGUACAGAGAGAAUAACAGACACCAAACACUUCUACAAAAAGAACGGACAAAAGUUAAAAAAGAAAAAGAAAGGCUAAAGAAGAAACACAAAAAACAUUGUCACAUAAAGGUCAAGGCCACGAGCUCUGUUUCUCGACGCAAAAAUGUCGAGGAAAGUUCCUGUGUCUUUGAGUGUUAUUUAAGCAGUGGGGGCUUUUUAAUUCAUUGGGAGUUUUGUAUCCUCCCACCAACACGAUCAAGCUUCUCAUAUCCAUUCACUCUCUCUCUCUCUCUCUCUCUCUCUCUCUCUCUCU
rnacentral:lncRNA from 1 species